rnacentral:rRNA from 1 species
AGGAGCUUGCUCCUGGAUUCAGCGGCGGACGGGUGAGUAAUGCCUAGGAAUCUGCCUGGUAGUGGGGGACAACGUUUCGAAAGGAACGCUAAUACCGCAUACGUCCUACGGGAGAAAGCAGGGGACCUUCGGGCCUUGCGCUAUCAGAUGAGCCUAGGUCGGAUUAGCUUGUUGGUGAGGUAAUGGCUCACCAAGGCGACGAUCCGUAACUGGUCUGAGAGGAUGAUCAGUCACACUGGAACUGAGACACGGUCCAGACUCCUACGGGAGGCAGCAGUGGGGAAUAUUGGACAAUGGGCGAAAGCCUGAUCCAGCCAUGCCGCGUGUGUGAAGAAGGUCUUCGGAUUGUAAAGCACUUUAAGUUGGGAGGAAGGGUUGUAGAUUAAUACUCUGCAAUUUUGACGUUACCGACAGAAUAAGCACCGGCUAACUCUGUGCCAGCAGCCGCGGUAAUACAGAGGGUGCAAGCGUUAAU